rnacentral:lncRNA from 1 species
GUUUUUGUAUUUGAACAUGCAAGAAGAGCUUUCAGGGUCGUCAAACCCGUCAAAGUUGGGCCUUGUCUCACAUAACAACAACACACCUAUCACACAUUUUAACUCAUCAGACCGGUAAGCUCCUCACUGCUUUAACUAUGACUAGUAGAACUUUAGCAACUAGACUUAUCCUAAACAGAGUUUUUGUACAGACAAUUAUGCAGUUCUCCAAUGAUCAAGCUGAUGAAAACAUAAAGAUAAGUUUGCUGCAAACAGAAGCUAGAGAAAGCGACCACUGCUUGUACAUGGAAGAGAUGAUAAUAAUACAAAACUGUUGAUAUAUACAUGUAUAGAGAAAUCAUUUCACAAGGAACAUUUGCUGUAAUUUACUACCUUGAUCGAAAUGUAAUAUGUAAAACACAAGACAUAAAAAUCUCAAUUGAGACCUUUACAUGUAUUUUUACAAGUUCUAUAUGAUAAUGGUUAUCUCUAUAACGGAUUAAACGCUUUAAAAUAUACUAGAAUAAGAAUAACCACUAAGAAAACAACACAAUUAAAUGCAGUAGAAAUUCUUGGUCUUUGAUUAAACAUUCUAUGUUUUAUGAAUCUUCACCAUGUUGUUGUAAUAUAUGAAAAGACAUGUAUGAAGGUUAUAGCUUCUAGGUACAAAACAAGAGCUAGUUCUAAAAGUAAGUACAAAGAAAACAGAACAAAGAGAUGAGAAGAGGACAUGCCUGAUACUGCUUCUGUCUGAAACCACAGCUCAAAAAUCAUCUUCCGUGGAUGAUGUCUUGUUUCCUUUCUUUUCUUGUAGCAGCUUUGUUGAAUGAUCUUGUUCUGUAAAACUAGAAAGAGCUUUGAGAGAGAGAGAGAGAGAGAGAGAGAGAGAGAGAGAGAUAGAGCGAAGAGAGAGCAAAAUGAGUAGAGAUUCUGAUAUGCUCGGAGUAAUAUUCCUUCAUGCAAAAUAUUCCCACGGCAUAUACCCUUUCACGACCAUUGUUUUUGAUCAAAAAAGAUCAUUUCCUCAAUUCACGUCGCAAUGAAAAGUCUUGGGCCGUAGGCCCAGUAAGCCCGUUUUGCUGAUUCUCUGUUUUCUUAUAAUAAAGGUUUUUUUUUGGGUACAACCUCCGCAGCAGAAACAUGGCUGCAACUGCUACUUGGGAUUUCAGCUGGUAUGUUCAGCUUCUGGUUUGUUCGUAACGUUUUUUAUUACUCUGUAUCUGAUGAUUAAACGUACUGGAUUCAAUUACUGAAAUCUUGGGUCUUGCACGCUUGAAGGAAUCUCUUUGAUUUUUAGACUCCAAAGUAUCGAUCUUUUACGCACAUUAACAGCCUAUACGACCUAAUUUCAUUAUCUCCGCUCAAUUAGGUUGAUUCGCACUCACUUACCUUCUGUAAGGGGUUUGUAGUUUGAGGAUCACACUGUUAUAUACUUAAUGAAAUUUGGUUUGUUUUCAAUUAGACUUUUUUUUUUUUGGUUAGGGGUUGUGGUUUAUCUUAUAAGAGUUUUAUUUCUUUUUUUUUUUGCUAAAUUUGCAGUCACUUGGAUGUGAAUUUCGAAACGGAACAACAUGCUUUCAUUGCGUACACAUCAUUGGCUGUUGAUAAAGAGGUUUAAAAGUUUCUCAAUUCACUACCAACAUAUGAAUAGGUAUCUAGUCUCAACCAAAAAAAGUUGUAUGUUUUUUUUUCCACUUCACUCAUGUUAUAAUUCUCACCAUUUAUGCAGUUGCAGCCGGGUAAGGUGAGAAGAGUCAUGUCGGUAUCAAACAACAAGCUUUCUGUGUAAGUUUCUCAAAGUUAAUCAUCGGUUAAGACUGAUGCCAAAUUGGAAAUCUUUCGGGUCCGUUUACGAGUUUUUGAUAUUUGCUCAUUGGAUAACUUUACAGGCACUUUGAGGCAAUAGAGGCAAGGCUUCUUCGAGCAUCCUUGUCCGCGUUUGUAGACGUUCUUACACUGGCCACAAAAACAAUUCAAGAAUUUCGGGAAGAUUAAAACACCAAUGUGUAAAAGAAGUUUGAUUCUUUCUCUCUGUCCCUUCAAGAAUUCAAUUAUUGUAGUGCUGAAUUGGAGGACUGUAAAAACACUUUCAAUUUGAUAUACUUUGUACUGACUCCUAAUUAAAUUUCUAAACACUUCUAGUUUCAUCUUCGUUUUCGUUAGCUCAUCGUAAAAACCUACGCUUUUGUGAUAAACCCUGAUAGUGAUAGUAUCAGGUCACCCGACUCCAUAAACCUGCAUGUAGACAUAUCGACCCAGAAGCUCUCCAAGGCGAUCUAAUAAACUCAUGACACUAUGUAUUCGUGAUUGAUUUUCUCAAAAUCGUCACACGAGACGUACAAAUACACAAAACCAAUAAACCAACAAAUUGGUUUAACUAGCUUAACCAAAAGAAAUGAUAAUAAGUAAAUAAACCAGAUAACCAAAUCUAUAGACUUAUCCUGUAAAAUAAAAUCUAAACACAUAUAUUUUUUUAAACAGCACAUAAUCCGCGUUUUUAUAGGAAGCUGCCUGGAAGUUUCAGUAGCUCUCUACCGCCUAUUAAUUAACAAAAAAAAAUCUGCCUAUAAAUAGACGCUUUCAUCUCUCUCUCUAUCUCAUUGAGUUCCAUCUCUCUAUCUCAUUGAGUCCCAUCUCUCUCUCUCUCCCUCUCCCACCCACCCCCUCUCUCUCUCUCUCUCUCUCUCUCUCUCUUUAUAAAGAAGAAAAUAAAAGUAUCUUCUAUCUUCUCUCUCUCUCUCUCUCUCUCUCUCUCUCUCUCUCCCGCGUAAAUUAGAAGCCCGAACAAAAUUAUGGGCCGUUCAUAUAUAUGUUUAUAAAAUUCAAAAAUAUGCAUGGCAAUGGAAUUGAACUCAUCACUCUACCAAUAUGCUAGUACGGACUAUUGUAAAUUGAAGGCCGAUAAAUACUUAUUAUUUUUGGGGGCCGUAAGCUCAAGCUUCUAAAGAUUGUUAUCAGGGCCCGCAGUGUGAACCAUAUCCCACAGAACAAAAAAUCUCCUUAAAAUUUGCUUUCUUUUAAGUAGACUUCCCGCCUGAGAGCGACAGAUUUGUCAAUGUGUUUGUCGGAAGAUCUGAUGGUCGAUCACGGGGGAGAUCCGGCGUCCGCACCAGAGGAUGUUGUUUCACAGCUUCGCGAUAGUACCGGCGAAUCUGUAGCUGCAGUUGAGAACGCACCGCUUGACUUGGAAGCUGGUCGGAACUCAUGGAGAGUGAGUAAAUUUUCUUCUUUACACGAGAAUGAAUCCAUCCAUGGCUCAAAUCUUGAUCGGUUUCAGGGUACGUUGAAGAACGAAUUCGAGGCAUCCCGUUUAGUGCAUCAUCGCCCAGAAUCACAACCGGCAACCGGUAAUUUUUUGUUUCUCUUCUCUUGAUGAGAGAGCAUGUUUAUCCCUGAUAGCAUGUUUAUCCCUGAUAAACCCAAAUGGGAUUUGGGGUUUUUAGGUUUUUUUUGUAAAAAAAAAAAAAAAAAGUUAAAAAAUAGGUUCCUCCAUCGGUAUAAGAAACUCAAUAAAAUUCAUUCUUAAUUAGUAGUUUUUGUAACCGAUCCUUGUGGGGGUCCACGCACUAAAAAACUCCCUAAAGACCCCGGAUAAACAUACUCUAAACUAGUUCCACCGUCACACAGAGGGAUAUCCGGUUUGAGUUAAUGCUGAAAACCGGUGUAUACCAAAACAUAAAACACCAAAACUGCUGAACAAAAUCUAACCGGUAUACCACUAAAAAUAUUUGUUUUUUGUACCUAAUUUCUGAAUUUGUGUAUUUUGACUAUUAUUUGUUUCUUGGGGUUUCUUACACCAUACUAUCAUUUUUACAAAAUAAUAUAUAUAUNNNNNNNNNNNNNNNNNNNNNNNNNNNNNNNNUAUAUAUAUAUUUGAACUAUUAUUUGCCAUCUUUGAUAAGCUGAAUAAGCUAUGAAUCAUCCAGUCCGGUUUCAGAAUCCAUCUGUCGACGAAAAUUUGUUUCUCUGGUUUAGUUAAUUUCUGCUUUGAACAAAACCGGUUUAUUAGUUUUCUUUCUGGUGAAAAAAAAAAAAAAGUUUUCUUUUUAGUGCAAAACCAUAUUUGUGUGAAAACAGUAGGCCUAAACCGGUCAACAACAAACGACAAGGAACCGAAAUAAUUAACCGAAACAAAAUCAAACCGGAAAUCCUAAUGGGCAUACUGUUUAUAAUCAUUGGGGGAUAAUUGUUGGUUUAAUAUUAUAUAUAAUUUCCUGCAUCUUCUUCUUCCUCUAUUUUUUUCUUCUCGAUCCGCAAAAUUCAGUUCGUGCAACCUUAACGUCUGGCGGGUUUGGGAUUAAACUGGACAAACUCCUCCAAGCGGUCGGAGCACGUGACCUUCAAGCUCUCAAUCACUAUAACGGGGUAAUUUCUUUUUUUUUUCUUUUUUCAUUUUUUUUUUUCAAUUCUUCGUUAGUGUCAGUUAAUUCUAUGCUUCUUAGAUUAUGAUUUCUUCAAAUAGGUUGAAGGGUUAUCAACUCUGCUGAAGACUGACCUUGAAAGAGGCAUAGACGAUGAGAUACAGCAACGUAAGCAGGCAUUUGGGUCAAACACAUACCCUUCCAAAAAGGGGCACACUUUCUGGGUAUACGCAGCAAUUAUUAAAUAACAAGAAUCUUUUCACUUUGAAAUGACAACCUGUUUGUUAAUUGUUGUUGUUGUUGUGGUCGUCGCAGAGCUUCAUCUGGAAAGCUACCCUGUUUCCCCCGUAUAUGGCUAUACUGCUUGCUACUGUUUUAAAUUUGCUGCUACGAAUAAAAGGAAAGGUGAGUUUCAUGAUCUAAAUCACCUUUCUUCUUAUGCUUGACAUUAAGAUUAUCUACUUGCUCUGACUGCAAUUCAUGUACUUACUAGUAUUUUCUCCCGGGCAUUUAUUUUUAUAACUCCAUACAUUUUUUUUGUAAUUUACAAUGGAAUUUUUUUUGUAGGGUUAUGAAAUUUACAGUGGAAAUAAAUAUUACUUAUAGAGUUAUAUUUAUUGGUGAACUUAAAAACAAAAUUAUUUUUUAAUAUUAUAAAACAGUCCAAAAUAGACACAAGAUGAACAUUAUAUAAUAGUUGCCAAAAAAAGAAGAUGAACAUUAUAUAAUAAUUUACUUAUCAAAAAAACAUUACAUAUGAAAUAUCAAAUCGAGAAAAAGCAUAUAUUUUUUAAAUAAUUAACGUUAAUAUAUUUGUAUUCUUUUUCUUUUAUAUUUAUUUUUGUUUUGUAGUACUGUUUUCCUAGUAUUUUAUUAGGUUUUCUUUUCUUAAACUAUACUUGCAUUAAGAACAUGGAAACUAUCACCAAACUUCUAUGAGAUUAGAAACAGAUAAAAUAAAGUAUAAAAAACCAACCGACCAGGUGAGAUCUUGAUCUAGAGAGUAGGCAUAUCUUGUUCUCGUUUUCUCUACCAUCUGAGUUUCUUGGGUCCAUUUGUUGUCUUUUAAUCAUCUCCACAUUUUACAUUUUUGUAAUUUCUCCUUUUCUGAACUAUAGCUAUGACAAUAGUUUCAAAAAAAAAAAAACUAGGUACAAAACAAGAGCUAGUUCUAAAAGUAAGUACAAAGAAAACAGAACAAAGAGAUGAGAAGAGGACAUGCCUGAUACUGCUUCUGUCUGAAACCACAGCUCAAAAAUCAUCUUCCGUGGAUGAUGUCUUGUUUCCUUUCUUUUCUUGUAGCAGCUUUGUUGAAUGAUCUUGUUCUGUAAAACUAGAAAGAGCUUUGAGAGAGAGAGAGAGAGAGAGAGAGAGAGAGAGAGAGAGAGAGAGAGAGAGAGAGAGAGAGAGAGAGAGAGAGAGAGAGAGAGAUAGAGCGAAGAGAGAGCAAAAUGAG